rnacentral:misc_RNA from 1 species
UGCUGAAUAAUGAUUUAUUUUUAAUUAGGGAUUAUCAUGAAAUGAAACAAAGCACUUGACUUGCUCAUAAAUUUGUAAACAUCAUCAUGACUACAAGGGCCACAAAAAGGGAAAGGAAAUUAGCCGAGGACAAUAGAAAACAGAGUGGGAAGCAACAUUUUGGGCACAGAUAAAAGCAAGUGCCCAAGCAUCAAGCACACAAAGAUACAAAAUUAAUGUACAUAUUCCAAGGUCCUAAACCCUCAAGGACCAGAUAAAACUCUCUAUCUUAGAAGCAUAGAGUACUUGUUUUUCUCCUGAAUUAUAUGUUGGAAUUGCUCCUGAAUGACCCAAGAGCUUUAGCAGCAGAUGCUCUCAAGAUAUACUGGUGGUAAAAUGCAGCAAUUGCAGCACCAAUCAAAGGUCCAACCCAGAAAAUCCAUUGGUCAUCCCAUGCCUUGUCCUGGUUGUAGAUCACAGCAGCUCCAAAGCUCCUAGCUGGGUUAAUACCAGUGCCAGUGACUGGAAUUGUG